rnacentral:tRNA from 1 species
GUUCAGUUGGUUAGAAUGCCGCCCUGUCACGGCGGAGGUCGCGGGUUCGAGUCCCGUCCGGA